rnacentral:rRNA from 1 species
GAAGGUGUAUCUAGAAAGACAAAUUAGAGCUUGAAAAGUAAAGCAUUUCAUUUACAUUGAAAAGUAUAUUGUGUAAUUCAAUUUAAUUUGAUAAUAAAAAUUUAUUAAUUUUUUUUGUUUAAAAAUUUAUUUAAUAAAAUUAAUUUUAGAUAAAGUUUUUUUUGUAUAGUAUAUAGAUCAAAUAGUUUAUAUGAUAGUUAAUUAGUAUUGUAAAAGAAUAUUGAAAUAUGUGAAAAAGUUUUAAAUUAAAAGUAAAUUUUAUAUAUUGUACCUUGUGUAUCAGGGUUUAUUAAUUAAAAGUUAAAAAUUUAAUUUUUCUCGAAUUUAAGAGAGUUAAUUUAUUAUUUAAUUUUUUGUUUAAAAAAAAUUUAAAAUAUUAAAUUAGAAAUGAAAUGUUAUUCGUUCUUAAAUAUAUCUAGUUUUUUAAGAAAUAAAUUAAAUUUAGAUUAUUAAUAAAUAAUUAUUUAUUUAAAUAAUAAAUUAUUAUUAAUAAUUAAUAUUUUAGGGGAUAAGCUUUAAAAUAAGUUUUAUAAUAAUUUUUUAAUUUGAAAAUUAUAGGUUUAGAAAUAGUCAUUAAUUAUAAAAAUGUUAUAAUUUAUUUUAAAUUAAAAAUAAUUUUUAUUAAUUUAAGUUUUUAUUAAAAUAAUUUUUAAAAUAAAAUAAGAAUUGAAAUAAUGAUAAAAUUAGUAUAUUGAAUUGUUUAAAAUAAAUAAAUUGAAAGGUUAAAUUAAGGAACUUGGCAAAUAAAUAUUCGCCUGUUUAACAAAAACAUGUCUUUUUGAAUAUAAUUUAAAGUCUAAUCUGCCCACUGAAAAAUUUUAAAGGGCCGCGGUAUU